rnacentral:misc_RNA from 1 species
AUGAAUUGUGAUGGGGUUUUUGAUGCUGGCAGCCAACUUUUGGAUGCAUGUGCUCGCCCUAACAAUCAUCUUCUAAACACCUGUGCACAUUUUGAGGGAGUUUCGAGUUGAUUGCCACUUUUGGUGAUUUUCUUGCAUUCCCUUGAAUCAUUAUACGCUGUUAUCAAUGCUGAACGUGCUUUGUGCCGCAAGGCCAUUAAUAUAAUA